rnacentral:lncRNA from 1 species
UGAGGAACUGCUCGAGAUACGUUAUGAGAAACUUCAUUUAGCCGAUGCGUAAAGUAUAUCAUUUUUGACAUAAAGUGCCGCCGACUGUCAUCGUCGAUUCCCGCUUCUACAGUCAGGCGCGAUUCGCGCGUCAGGACUCUCAUAAAGUGAACUGACAUGAAUCAAUGAAUCGCGUGAGAUCAGAAGUGACACAUUUGAAUGAACGUGCCAUAGUUUGAAGAUGAGUAUGAAUUAUUCCCAUGUAAUAUUGUGAUGGCUUCCUCAACCGAGAGACCCCGCAAUUCAGAACGUCAGCUACAGGCCCAGUUUAAUGUUCUGUGCUCACGCUUGGGCUGUUCUGUUCUGCCGGUCUCCUACAAUCUCUUCUCCAGUGGCAUUCUGACUCAGUUGGAACUGGAGAAAAUCCAAGCAAUACCCAUCCCAACCCAGCAAGCACAAAUUCUGCUGUCCAUCUGCCUGAAGAAAGGAGAAAAAGUGUGCAUGAGCUUUUACACAGCGCUACAGAAUGAGGAUGAGCAACUAGCUGAGGAACUUAAUGUAAACAGUUUGGUGGAAGACCUUGAUAAAGAACCAGAAGGCAGCACUGUGCCGAUAGCAGUGGAGGAAACUAGAGAUCACUUGAGAGCAGCUUUACCUCUGUCAGGAGGCCUGCAGCAGGUCAUGACUCAGCUGGGCUUGACUGUGGGGGAUGAGAUUAGGUUUAAUGUCUGUGAGGUUGGUGUGGCGGUGGGUUUGCCGCGUCGGACAGUCAUAGAGUACCUUCUGGAAGGGGUCGGCAUUGAAGACUCAGCCCAGCUGGAAGCCCUAGUGUCCUUGUAUAUAGAGAAGACACAGGACGCCGACAGACUACUGAGCAGAGUGGCAGAACUCAGCCC